rnacentral:lncRNA from 1 species
CUGUAAUAUGUUUCACGUGUAAUAUUUUGAAACCUUUUGUGUGUGCAUGUGUGUGUGUGUGUGUGUGUGUGUGUGUGUGUGUGGUUUUUAACUAGAGGACGACGGAGUCCUUUUGAUGAAAUGGACUCUUGGGAUUUGUCUUAUAAUAAGGUGCAUGAGACUGAGUUUAGUAGGCAGGGAAAUAUUUCUCCUGCCUCGCUAGUGCCUGUUUAUUCUUCCCUUAUAAAAAAACCAAAGGGCUAGCAAUUUUCUUUUAUGAACGUAGACUGUAGGGAGAUAAGUAGCCCUUGCAGGAGAGGAAGGUCAAGUUCAAAGUUUUUCUUUCCUUUGGAUUCAGGAAUAAGCAAAUGGAAAGCCUGGCCAAACAACUGAGCAGCAGGCAUCUGAUGGUUAAGCCCUCCCCCCCAGGACUUUUUAUGUACAUAAGCAGAAGUCACUCGAGCAGCUGCGGCGCAUUAGUUCCAAUAGUUUAACAGGCUGCUUUGUAGCGCUGACAAAAGCCGCCAGCGCUGUGGCUUCCCUCCAUGUUCCUCUGCCUUGUGAGCUCGUCAGUGAUCUUUGGCAGGGGCUCGGGAGAGGACGGUGACGUUGAACAGGCUUCCGCAGGGGGUGCGCUCGCCUGGUCGACACGCAGCCCCGUCUCCACCGAGAGAUUGAGGCCGAAUGAACUAACAGCAGCUGGAUCCGACCUGCUUUCCCGGACAUUUCCCAGACUCGGGAGCAAGCGAGGGAAUCACUGGAAAGAGGCCAGGCAACCACGUUGCCCUGGAUUUUUGCCAACUGUACAAAGUUGACCAGGAAAAUGGCUCAGCAGACCACAAGCCCGGACACCUUAACAGUACCUGAAGUGGAUAAUCCGCAUGGUCCCAACCCAUGGCUGAAUGAGGAUCUUGUGAAAUCCUUGCGGGAAAACCUGUUGCAGCAUGAGAAGUCCAAGACAGCGAGGAAAUCCGUUUCUCCCAAGCUCUCCCCAGUGAUUUCUCCGAGAAAUUCCCCCAGGCUCCUGCGCAGGAUGCUUCUCAGUAGCAACAUCCCCAAACAGCGUCGUUUCACCGUGGCACAUACAUGGUAAGUACAUCCCAUUUUUUGAAGCUUUUGCAGAUGGGUAAGUCUUGCUGCUGGAGCUUUACAUGUUGAUUUUCAUACUUGGAGAAUCUGAACUGGACAGUGUACUUGUUGCAGUCAGAUGUAUGCCUUUAUGAUUUUCAAGCCAGGAUCUGGAAAGAGGACAGAGCUUCGCAUGUGCUUUCCAUCUCUGUUUCAAAUCU